GGGGCUGUAACGGUUUCGACGUUUUGACGAAAGUCGCGUUGUGAUGCAGGCCGAGAGCGAGUCCACUCUCGAAAAUCAAGACUCAACUAAAUACAGAUGCAAACAACAUCGUACCUUUUGCUCGUAAGCAAGUAGCUGUAGCUGCCGCUUAAACACCUCUCUUAGGUUCGAGCGCUUAUUGUCUGACUCCGUUAAGGAUGAUAAGCCUAACCCCAACGGAUGCGUCAGGCUAAUUUCUCUGGUGAGCCGCUUGACAAAGACCUUUACCAGAGCAUCCCAUUGCUCGGGAUAAUGAGCGAUUCCCGCCUAGAGGAUUAGAUAGGCUAAGCCUGUGAAUGAGUGGCGUGUUAUUACUUAGGGCGGACACGGGUUCGACUCCCGUCAGCUCCAUUU
rfam:Leptolyngbya sp. Heron Island J, whole genome shotgun sequence.